CUUGUCUUGGCUUGUCAUGUAGCACGUAGAACGAGGCACCAGAAGAAAAACCGUCACCGGAAAAAAAACACAUGAAUCUUUCAGGCAUGCGGCAGCUGCAAGACUACAGGGACCAUUGUGGCUUCAAACCCCCCCCCAGCUACGGACGGCGUUCACCUUCCUCGCAGCGUUCCGGAGCACCUCAGGGUGACAUCGUUCAUCAAACGUCCCAGCGACGCCUGAACGCCUGUCGCACUCAUCCUCAUUGACAUCGGAGGCCAUGACGUCACGCUUUGGAGUCCAAACCCCGACCGCAUCGUGAACUUGACCCCCUCGCGCAUCCAGGAAUACGAGCACGAAUCCGGAAGUCACACUCCGCCGAUAUCCUAGUGCACGGAGUGCAGAGGUCAAAGUUGACAGGUUAACUGAGGGGACUAACAGCAACUGAA